GAUGACAGUACCCUGGAAAGCUCUGGAAUAAAAAUACCUGGGCUUUAGGUCGUGGAGGUAGGAGAUGGUAUCAUGUAAUGAAAGGUUUAAUUUUUUUCACCUGCCACAGCUUUAAUGUCAGAUGCUUGGGAAACAAGAGGUGGGGAUGAAUGGGCCUUGGAGCUGGCUGAUGGGAGGGCUUGGGGCAGGUGGGUGGCCAGUCUGCCUGUGACCUCUCCCCUUUGCUUCUCGAGAUUCACAAACAAAUUCCUGGUUCCUGGUGCCCUGGCUGCUCCCUGUCAUCCUCUUUGUUGUUCUCUGCCUCCUUCAGGUGAUGGUGGGCUCCUGCUCCACAUCCUGAUGGGACUCUCUGGAGCUGACAGAACCCUUUACUGCCUACAACUUGGGCCUGGUGCUUCUUUCAAGUUCAUGGCCACCUUGCUCCUGGCUGACUGUCACUACUUCUGCCAGCCAGUGGACUACAAUCCAGCAAGCUCAGGAUGGCGAGCGUGUGCUGGUGGUGCUACUCAAAGGCUGCUGAGUCUCUAGGCAAGGUGAGACUCCCCAAGCACUGGC
rnacentral:lncRNA from 1 species